UCGGUGAUGACGCUGGGAACGCGAGCGGCGGAUGGGUGAGUAACACGUGGGUAACCUGCCCUAAAGUCUGGGACACCACUUGGAAACAGGUGCUAAUACCGGAUAACAACAAUAGCUGCAUGGCUAUUGCUUAAAAGGCGGCGAAAGCUGUCGCUAAAGGAUGGACCCGCGGUGCAUUAGCUAGUUGGUAAGGUAAUGGCUUACCAAGGCGACGAUGCAUAGCCGAGUUGAGAGACUGAUCGGCCACAUUGGGACUGAGACACGGCCCAAGCUCCUACGGGAGGCAGCAGUAGGGAAUCUUCCACAAUGGACGAAAGCCUGAUGGAGCAACGCCGCGUGAGUGAAGAAGGUUUUCGGAUCGUAAAGCUCUGUUGUUGGUGAAGAAGGAUAGAGGUAGUAACUGGCCCCUAUUUGACGGUAAUCAACCAGAAAGUCACGGCUAACUACGUGCCAGCAGCCGCGGUAAUACGUAGGUGGCAAGCGUUGUCCGGAUUUAUUGGGCGUAAAGCGAGCGCAGGCGGAAAGAUAAGUCUGAUGUGAAAGCCCCCGGCUUAACCGAGGAAUUGCAUCGGAAACUGUGUUUCUUGAGUGCAGAAGAGGAGAGUGGAACUCCAUGUGUAGCGGUGGAAUGCGUAGAUAUAUGGAAGUACACCAGUGGCGAAGGCGGCUCUCUGGUCUGUAACUGACGCUGAGGCUCGAAAGCAUGGGUAGCGAACAGGAUUAGAUACCCUGGUAGUCCA
rnacentral:rRNA from 1 species